rnacentral:lncRNA from 1 species
GGGAGAUUUUUAUUUAUUUAUUUAUGUAUUUUUGAGCAAUUGCAGUGUUUGUCCCAUCCAGCUUCAGCCCAGCCCCAGGCAGGGGAUGGGACCACCUGCAUAGGCAGCUCUGUCAGCUGCUGGGAAAAGAGGAGUGCUCUCUGUGGAGAUUAGGUUGUGACGUUCUGUAAAUAAGCUUUUGUUCUUCUCAGCUCUUGAUGAGAAAGAAGAUAUACAGUAUAAGUAUAGCAUCUCUGUGAUAAGGGCUAAUACUUCCAAGUUAAAGAAAAUAACAAAAUAGAAAUGUUAAAGCUACGUGAGAGGAAACAUUAAGCUCAGUACCUUAGCUAUAGAGACAGAGGUAUGCAAGAAGGACGGAAAAAAGCAUCAAGUCUGUAGCAAACGUUCCUCAGUCCUUCUGUCCGAGCUGUGUGGCCGCAGCGGGUCUGCGGGGUGCGCGCUGCUGUGCUGUGCUGUGCUGAGCGUGAAACAGAGACACGGAGCGGCGGCUGAGGGAAGGACGCAGAGCUGAGAGCUGGGAAGGCCCGAAGUUCAGCACGAGGGCCGCUCCCGCUCCGCCGCGGUGUCCUGCAGCGCUCCGUGCGGGGAGCAGCGCUUCGUGCUCCGCUCUGCGCUCACCGCGUGCAGCACGGCUGCUGCCAGCCCUGCGCUGCCGCACCGCACGGCGGUGUGUUGUGUGGGUCGGGGAGCUGCAGCGUGGAGAGGUGGAUGGGAAUUGGAAGGACGCAUUGUUAAAGACGAAAAAUCUGAAACGUGGCAAACACUGCACUUGCAAAACUCUGAAUGUAAUAGGUGGAAAUGAGCGAUGAAUUUGGAUGCCGGCUCGGAAGGAAAAGCACCCCGUUCUGCUUAUCUUUCCCCAAGGAUUCAGUCGGUUUUAACUUGCGGACAGGUGCAUACAAAGCUCUAAAUGAUUGCUCGUGGGACCACGUGAGGUUCAGCGCUGUGUGCACAGGGAGCUGCAGCUCCGCCGUGCGGGCAGGGGAGGAACAUUGGAGCUCUGAGUGUGGGGCUGCAGGGCUGCCGGGCAGGGAGAGAACUGCGUGUGGCUCCUGGGGUUCUGCAGCCGUUACUGCGAUGCUGGACGUGACUGUGCAGGGAUGGCGUUGGGCCUAUCUGGAAAGCCGCUGUUCUGCUGCUUUAUCAGAGGUAUUUCGUGUGGGGCCUAGAGGCGCGAACCGCUGGCUCUCAUCAACCUCAAGAAGAAGAACGAGGAGACGGGGGAGGAGGAGCUGA